CAACAAGAGGCAGCAAUAUUGAGAAACCGCAUGAAGCUGAAAAAGACAAAGACACCUCAGGCCAGAAGACACAGCAUAACUGUCUAUCAUAUAAAUUAAGGCACUGUGGGAUGAAGAGCAGGGGUGAUAGUGCCAAGCCUUGGUGGAUGCCUACUUGGAUUGGGAAGGACUGUGAGGCUCCAACAGGAUAUUGCAUUGUGUUUGUUACAUUGACAUAAAGUAGCUGGAUCCAUUGCACAUAAGCUUCAGGUGGGCAGCAUGGAUGGCGCCAUUGGUUCCACAUCCUUUCAUGAAGCCAC